CAGGGGUUUUGCGCAUGGGCGAAGCCUGAGCAGCAACGCCGCGUGGGGGAUGAAGGCUCCUGGGUCGUAAACCCCACCUGCCGGGGAGGAUAAUGACGGUACCCGGCGAAUAAGCCACGGCUAACUACGUGCCAGCAGCCGCGGUAAUACGUAGGUGGCAAGCGUUGUCCGGAUUUAUUGGGCGUAAAGGGCGCGCAGGCGGUUUCGUUUAAGUUUCGAGGUUGAAAUCUCCUUGGCUCAACUUGGGAGGGGUCUUUCGGGAUACCUGGCGGACUUUGAGGAGAGCAGAGGUGAGUGGAAUUUCUUGGGUGUAGUGGUGAAAUGCGUAGAUUUCCAGAGGAACACCAGUGGCGAAGGCGACUCACUGGGCUCCACCUGACGCUGAGGCGCGAAAGCGUGGGGAGCGAACCGGAUUAGAUACCCGGGUAGUCCACGCCGUAAACGAUGGACACUAGGUGUGGGGGGUAUUGACCCCCUCCGUGCCGCAGCAAACGCGAUAAGUUGUCCCGCCUGGGGAGUACGGUCGCA
rnacentral:rRNA from 1 species